UACGUAGGGGGCUAGCGUUGUCCGGAAUCAUUGGGCGUAAAGCGCGCGUAGGCGGCCCGGUAAGUCCGUUGUGAAAGUCAAAGGCUCAACCUUUGAAAGCCGAUGGAUACUGCCGGGCUGGAGUCCGGAAGAGGCGAGUGGAAUUCCUGGUGUAGCGGUGGAAUGCGCAGAUAUCAGGAGGAACACCAAUAGCGAAGGCAGCUCGCUGGGACGGUACUGACGCUGAGACGCGAAAGCGUGGGGAGCGAACAGG
rnacentral:rRNA from 1 species